GACGAACGCUGGCGGCGUGCUUAACACAUGCAAGUCGAACGGUAAGGCCCUUCGGGGUACACGAGUGGCGAACGGGUGAGUAACACGUGGGUGAUCUGCCCUGCACUUCGGGAUAAGCCUGGGAAACUGGGUCUAAUACCGGAUAGGACUCCGGACUGCAUGGUCUGGGGUGGAAAGCUUUUGCGGUGUGGGAUGGGCCCGCGGCCUAUCAGCUUGUUGGUGGGGUGAUGGCCUACCAAGGCGACGACAGGUAGCCGGCCUGAGAGGGUGACCGGCCACACUGGGACUGAGAUACGGCCCAGACUCCUACGGGAGGCAGCAGUGGGGAAUAUUGCACAAUGGGCGCAAGCCUGAUGCAGCGACGCCGCGUGAGGGAUGACGGCCUUCGGGUUGUAAACCUCUUUCAGCAUCGACGAAGCGAAAGUGACGGUAGGUGCAGAAGAAGGACCGGCCAACUGCGUGCCAGCCGCCGCAGUAA
rnacentral:rRNA from 1 species